rnacentral:lncRNA from 1 species
CCAAUUCCAUCCAUUCGAUUUCCAAUUCAUUUUAGUGAUUCUUGGUAUGGGGAGUAAUGAAGAUGAUUCAAUUGAAGGACGGGAGAGAGAAGAGAAAAAGAAAGACCUCCUGAUCUCUUUUUAUGCUAAUCAUAUCCAAAUAAAAGCCAAUAAUAAUAAGCACAAAUAUAAUUAUAAUAAUAAUCAGAACAUACUCAUCAUGGCCAAUCAUCAAUCUCUUUUGGACGAAAGACCUCCUGAUCUCUUCAUUUGAACUCCUGGAAGUUGAAGGUUCCUCAUCUGCAUAUGAUAUGAGUUAAGAUUGAAUGGAAUAAGGUAAUAAGCACAAGCUAAAUGAAUGAAUCGUUAUAUCCAUAAUCACAUUCAGUUGUCCAGAUGCAUUUUAACUUUUUAUUUUAUUUAUCCAUAGUUUCAACUCUACUCAAUACAUUGUUCAACUAUUUUGCUUACUUUUGCUUACAACUAUAUAUAUAAAAAAAACAUAAAUUGAACAUAACAAAAACCUAAACCCUUGUUGUAAACCAUAUUCAUAAAUAAAAGAUCAACAAAAUUUCUUCUCCAAAAUCCAUGGCGUUUUGCUAGCUCUAUAAGCAUCAAAAUUAUGGAAACCAUACCAACAAAAAAAUAACAAACAUUUGGUGGGCAACAUUUACAGUUGUUAACAAAAAAAUAACUGAGACUUGGUUUGGGAGCAACAUAAAAAGGAAUUUGAGAGACUUAUUAUCAUAGUUUUUCUUGCUCUAUAAUAAGGAAAAUUACCAAAACCAUACCUUACAAACAGCUAGUGUGCCACUUCAAAAGGUAGAUAAGUCCUGAUCUUCUUCCUCAUGUGGUUGCAGAAUAUCUAUCUAUGCAAAGCACACAAUGAGUGAUUGAAAAGAAACAAAAAAGCUAUCAACAAAUUCAAUGAGUUGAUUGUGGAUAUGGAUAAAUAUAUCUGCAAUCUCGAAAAGCUAAGCCACAAAAUUUGACAAAAUAAAAAAUCCACCAAUAAAUUUCUAAUCUUGGGUUCCAAGAAGAUUAUACGUGUAAUUUGAUGUCUGUUGCUAGUCCCGAGGAGAUGAAGUCAUUAUCGGCUUAUUCGAAAUCUCGUGCUAAGAGAACAAACAAACAUCAUUUGAGUAAUGUACAUAAAGAAUCUAAUAGAAAAAAAAGUUAGGGUUUUUUUUUACCAAAACUUGGAGAGAAAAAAAGUGAAAUCUGAUCCAAUGGUAUGGUCCACCGGCUACAACAGCAAUUUUAACGGUGGCAGUGGUGGCAGCGACAAAAGAGUGAGGCAAUGUUGGUCGUCGUUCAGAUAAAUGGGAGAAAUUUUACUUAGUGAAGGCCUAAAGGGGCAGUGGGUUGCAGGUCAGACCGGGAGGGAGAAGGCAUGUCACGUCGAUGAAUUUGGAGGAGAUGGAGGGCUUUGCUGCCGGCGCGGAUGGCGGACGUGACGUUGUUGACGGAGGCAGUGGCCAGAGAAGAGGGAAAGUGAGAGUAAGGGAAAAUCGGUAGACGACGUUCUUUUUU